GGUGAGAUGGCCGAGCGGUCUAAGGCGCCAGACUAAGGAUCCACUUGACUAUAAAGUGUAACUUGUGCAUGUUGUGUACAAUCUGGUCCUCCGGGGCGUGGGUUCGAAUCCCACUCUCAUCA